GACGAACGCUGGCGGCGUGCCUAACACAUGCAAGUCGAACGCGUGGCGCACGGGUGAGUAAUGUAUGGGGAUCUGCCUGAUGGCGGGGGAUAACUACUGGAAACGGUGGCUAAUACCGCAUACCAUCAGAUGAACCCAUAUGGGAUUAGCUAGUAGGUGAGGUAACGGCUUACCUAGGCGACGAUCCCUAGCUGGUCUGAGAGGAUGAUCAGCCACACUGGGACUGAGACACGGCCCAGACUCCUACGGGAGGCAGCAGUGGGGAAUAUUGCACAAUGGGCGCAAGCCUGAUGCAGCCAUGCCGCGUGUAUGAAGAAGGCCUUCGGGUUGUAAAGUACUUUCAGUCGGGAGGCGUUACCGACAGAAGAAGCACCGGCUAACUCCGUGCCAGCAGCCGCGGUAAUUC
rnacentral:rRNA from 1 species